CAGCCGCCGCGGUAAUACGUAGGGUGCAAGCGUUAAUCGGAAUUACUGGGCGUAAAGCGUGCGCAGGCGGUUCGUUAAGACAGGCGUGAAAUCCCCGGGCUCAACCUGGGAAUGGCGCUUGUGACUGCAAAGCUAGAGUGCGGCAGAGGGGGAUGGAAUUCCGCGUGUAGCAGUGAAAUGCGUAGAUAUGCGGAGGAACACCGAUGGCGAAGGCAAUCCCCUGGGCCUGCACUGACGCUCAUGCACGAAAGCGUGGGGAGCAAACAGGAUUAGAUACCCCCGUAGUCCCUGUCUCUUAUAU
rnacentral:rRNA from 1 species